GCUACCAUGCAGUCGAGCGGAACGAGUUAUCUGUACCUUCGGGGAACGAUAACGGCGUCGAGCGGCGGACGGGUGAGUAAUGCCUAGGAAAUUGCCCUGAUGUGGGGGAUAACCAUUGGAAACGAUGGCUAAUACCGCAUGAUGCCUACGGGCCAAAGAGGGGGACCUUCGGGCCUCUCGCGUCCGGAUAUGCCUAGGUGGGAUUAGCUAGUUGGUGAGGUAAGGGCUCACCAAGGCGACGAUCCCUAGCUGGACUGACAGGAUGAUCAGCCACACUGGAACUGACACACUCUCCAGACUCCUACGAGAGGCAGCA
rnacentral:rRNA from 1 species